ACGGGAGGCAGCAGUGGGGAAUAUUGGGCAAUGGGCGAAAGCCUGACCCAGCAACGCCGCGUGAAGGAGGAAGGUUUUCGGAUUGUAAACUUCUUUUAUCAGGGACGAAGAAAGUGACGGUACCUGAUGAAUAAGCCACGGCUAACUACGUGCCAGCAGCCGCGGUAAUACGUAGGUGGCAAGCGUUAUCCGGAUUUACUGGGUGUAAAGGGCGCGUAGGCGGGGAUGCAAGUCAGGUGUGAAAUCCAUGGGCUUAACUCAUGAACUGCAUUUGAAACUGUUGAUCUUGAGUAUCGGAGAGGCAAUCGGAAUUCCUAGUGUAGCGGUGAAAUGCGUAGAUAUUAGGAGGAACACCAGUGGCGAAGGCGGAUUGCUGGACGACAACUGACGGUGAGGCGCGAAAGCGUGGGGAGCAAACAGGAUUAGAUACCCUGGUA
rnacentral:rRNA from 1 species